CCUACGGGGGGCAGCAGUGAGGAAUAUUGGUCAAUGGGCGGAAGCCUGAACCAGCCAAGUCGCGUGUGGGAAUAAGGCCCUACGGGUCGUAAACCUCUUUUGCCGGGGAGCAAGGGCGGGGACGUGUCCCGGCCCGGAGAGUACCCGGAGAAAAAGCAUCGGCUAACUCCGUGCCAGCCGCCGCGGUAAUACGGAGGAUGCGAGCGUUAUCGGGAUUUAUUUGGUUUAAAGGGUGGGUAGGCGGGCUUUUAAGUCAGCGGUAAAAAUUCGGGGCUAAACCCCGUCCGGCCGUUGAAACUGGGUGCCUUGAGUGGGCGAGAAGAAGGCGGAAUGCGUGGUGUAGCGGUGAAAUGCGUAGAUA
rnacentral:rRNA from 1 species